GAGGUUCUUCGUUGGUUUCACUAUCUCAAGAGUAUUCUACAUAUUACAAGUGAAGUGCUAGAAUGAAUUAAUCCCCCCUAUGCUAAUGCUAAAGCUCCUAUUUAUAGCUGUGAGAAUGAACCCUAAAGGCCUUAGGCCCACGAACUCUAAUAAUUGGAUUUAGGCCCAAAACAUAAUACAAUGAUCUUAGUCCCCAAGCUGAACCAUCAUACGUGGCUGCGUGGAGAGGCACUUUGACUUCUUCGGAUGGUUUGGGUAAUGAAAAUAGAACUCCCUCGUUGCCCGUGCUGAGUAGUUCCCUUGAACUGCGCUGGCGAGUCUGUGCCGCCAAGUAGUUUGUUGCG
rnacentral:lncRNA from 1 species